rnacentral:rRNA from 1 species
GACGAACGCUGGCGGCGGGCUUAACACAUGCAAGUCGAACGGAAAGGCCCUGCUUUUGUGGGGUGCUGGAGUGGCGAACGGGUGCGUAACACGUGAGUAACCUGCCCUUGAUUUUGGGGUAGCAUCAGGAAAGUGGGGCUACUCCCGGAUAGGAGACCCUGUUGCAUGGUGGGGGUUGGAAAGUUUCGGCGGGUGGGGAUGGACUAGCGGCUUAUCAGCUUGUUGGUGGGGGAGUGGCUUACCAAGUCAUUGACGGGUACGCGGCCUUGGAGGGUGACCGGCCACAUUAGUACUGCGAGACGGCCCAGACGCCAACGUUAGACAGUAGUGGGAAAUAUUGCCCAAUCGGCCCGCGCCGGAGACAACAGCCUCCCGUGCGUGAUGACCUUUUUCUGGGUGUGAACCGCUUUCGCCUGUUACGAAGCUGUUGUGACGGUAAUGGGUGAAGAAGCACCGGCUAACUACGUG